CCUACGGGAGGCUGCAGUGGGGAAUAUUGGACAAUGGGGGGAACCCUGAUCCAGCCAUGCCGCGUGUGUGAAGAAGGCCCUCGGGUUGUAAAGCACUUUCAGUGAGGAAGAACGCCUGGUGGUUAAUACCCAUCAGGAAAGACAUCACUCACAGAAGAAGCACCGGCUAACUCCGUGCCAGCAGCCGCGGUAAUACGGAGGGUGCGAGCGUUAAUCGGAAUUACUGGGCGUAAAGCGCGCGUAGGUGGCUUGAUAAGCCGGUUGUGAAAGCCCCGGGCUCAACCUGGGAACGGCAUCCGGAACUGUCAAGCUAGAGUGCAGGGGAGGAAGGUGGAAUUCCCGGUGUAGCGGUGAAAUGCGUAGAGAUCGGGAGGAAUACCAGUGGCGAAGGCGGCCUUCUGGACUGACACUGACACUGAGGUGCGAAAGCGUGGGUAGCAAACAGGAUUAGAUACCCCGGUAGUC
rnacentral:rRNA from 1 species